AACGAACGCUGGCGGCAUGCCUAACACAUGCAAGUCGAACGAGGCCUUCGGGUCUAGUGGCGCCCGGGUGCGUAACGCGUGGGAACCUGCCCUUAGGUUCAGAAUAACUCCCCGAAAGGGGUGCUAAUACCGGGUAAUGUCUUCGGACCAAAGAUUUAUCGCCUUUGGAUGGGCCCGCGUUGGAUUAGCUAGUUGGUAGGGUAAAAGCCUACCAAGGCGACGAUCCAUAGCUGGUCUGAGAGGAUGAUCAGCCACACUGGGACUGAGACACGGCCCAGACUCCUACGGGAGGCAGCAGUGGGGAAUAUUGGACAAUGGGCGAAAGCCUGAUCCAGCAAUGCCGCGUGAGUGAUGAAGGCCUUAGGGUUGUAAAGCUCUUUUACCCGGGAUGAUAAUGACAGUACCGGGAGAAUAAGCUCCGGCUAACUACGUG
rnacentral:rRNA from 1 species